AUGAAAGCCACGGAGGCCCAGUCCAGCCUUUCCAGGGAUGCGAGCAGUACAUCGAUCGAUCGAUACUACCUUCGGCCGGCCCUUCGCCUCGCCUGUUCGUCUGCUCGACUGCGCUUCGUGCCCUUCCUGUUUCGCCUCUUGGAGACGGCUGGAAGCACCGGCACCAUGUCAAGAGAGGCUCAGCUCAUGGAAAGGUUUCUAAAAAAGAGGAGAACCUCGGUGCAAGAUGAAAAUGUUGGUCCGUCACACGAAAAUAAUCAGAAUGAUGGCUCGGUCCCGACACAAUCGGAUAGACAAAUUGAUGCCUCAACACAUGAACAGAUUGAUGUUCCGACCCCACCAUCAUCACAUGGACAAAAUGAUGCCUCCACACAUGAACCUAGUUCUGCUAAUACUACAAGAAAUUCCUUUGAAGUUGAAGAGCUCAAUUGGGAAGAACAAAUUCAAUUUGAUCCAGGUAAAAGGAGAAGCAUAGAUGAGUACCAUCCGAAUCAGAGAGAUGUGGUAAGAAGGAAGUAUUUGGCCAAUGACCCUUCUCAACCUCGUACUGUAGAUUUUGAAGUGACAGAAAUAUGUGGUAAAGAUAGAAGACCGCGCAAGAAGAAAGAAGUUGGAUAUGAUGCAUUUGUUGCAAAUGGUUGGUCAAGUUGGAAUAAGAAAUAUAGAUUAAGGGAGCAUGUAGGAGACAUCAAUAGUGCUCACAACCAAGCAAAAAGAGAUUGUGAUGCUUUGCUGAAACAAAAGCAACACAUUUAUGUUGCUCUAAACAACCAAACCUCCUUGAAUGAUCUAAGGGGAAAGGGAUGGGAAUCUGUCCUACAAGAAGCAUAUGUCUUUUGUGACAAGCAUGACAUUUCCAAGUUGGAAAUGGAAGACCAAUAUGUGAAUCCAAAGAAGCCACGGCAAAAAACAGGUAUCACUAAUAGGCAUCAUUAUGAAGUGGAUUGUUUUAAUGAUGUUAUUGAUUGGCUGCUUCAAGAACUUGAUAAUCGCUUCAAUGAGAAAAAUUCAGAACUACUUGUUUGCUCAGCGGCUUUGAGCCCAAAUGAAUCAUUUCGUGAUUUCAACUUAGAGCAUUUGAUGAGUCUAGCUAAACUUUAUCCAAAAGAUUUCGAUGAUGGAGAACUGAGGGACCUUAGACAUCACCUUCAUCUUUACAUUGCUGAUGUCCGAGCAGAUGAUCGCUUCUCUGGUUUAAGUAAUAUUUGUGAGCUCUCUCAAAAAAUGGUGGAGACAAAAAAACAUAUUGUCUAUCCCUUGGUUUAUCGACUUUUGAAGCUAGCACUAGUAUUGCCUGUUGCCACUGCUACAGUUGAGAGAUCUUUUCCAGCUAUGAGAAUUGUGAAGAUAUAUUUGCGCAAUCGUCUUGGUGAUGACUCCUUGAAGUACAACCUUAUUUGUUAUGUGGAGAAAAGCGAAAUGAGGAAGGUUACUAAUGAUGCGGUAAUUGAUCGCUUUGAAGCCAUGAAAGAACGUAGAAACCAUUUUAGAAAGGCAAUCAAGAUCUGA
rnacentral:rRNA from 1 species